rnacentral:lncRNA from 1 species
ACUAAUCUUACUGUUAAAUUCACCAAUGAGCACAUCUGCCGCAUGAACAAACAGUUCAUAGAUCACAACGAGAAAAGCCAGCCAUUGAAGUUUGAAGUCAGAGGACAGAACAAAAGCUUUUGCUAGAGCAACGCUGGUGCGAGGCAAUCCCAACUUUGCCCCGGAGGAGAACCCUCCUCGCCAGCUUGGAUCAAUUUUUCGGGGAAGGGCAUUAGGGUGAAUGGAAAUUCCUUUCUUUUGGGAUUGCAGUGGCAUGAAUAGACCGAGGAGCUUCGAAGAGAGGAUCGGAACUUGGGUCUUUCACAAUAAUUGCUCGCGCAAGAGGAGCAGGCUUUGUGACUGUAAUUUGAAGAGAG